UACGUAGGGUGCGAGCGUUGUCCGGAAUUAUUGGGCGUAAAGGGCUCGUAGGCGGUCUGUUGCGUCGGGAGUGAAAACUCAGGGCUUAACCCUGAGCCUGCUUCCGAUACGGGCAGACUAGAGGUAUGCAGGGGAGAACGGAAUUCCUGGUGUAGCGGUGAAAUGCGCAGAUAUCAGGAGGAACACCGGUGGCGAAGGCAGAUCUCUGGGCCGUAACUGACGCUGAGGAGCGAAAGCAUGGGGAGCGAACAGG
rnacentral:rRNA from 1 species